GUCUGUAUGGUUGUUAUAUAGAGUCUAGCCUGCCCACUGAUAUAAAUUGAAGGGCCGCGGUAUUUUGACCGUGCGAAGGUAGCAUAAUCAUUAGUCUUUUAAUUGAGGGCUUGUAUGAAUGGUUGGACAAAAAGUGAGCUGUCUCUGCUGUAGUGUUUGAAUUUAACUUUUAAGUGAAAAGGCUUAAAUAGUCUAGGGGGACGAUAAGACCCUAUAAAGCUUUACAAUAAAAAAAUGUAGUAUAAUUUGUUAGUUUAACUUAGUUCAUUUUAAAGUUGUUUCGUUGGGGCGACGAGAAUAUAAUUUAGGUAACUGUUCUUUGAUAGAUAUCAGCAGUGUUAGUUGUGUGAAAAAUUGAUCCUUUACUAAAGAUUAAAAGAUUAAGUUACUUUAGGGAUAACAGCGUAAUCUUCCUUAAGAGUCCAGAUCGACAGGAAGGGUUGCGACCUCGAUGUUGAAUUAAGGGUUCCUUGUGGUGUAGCAGUUGCAUAGGAGGGUCUGUUCGACCCUUAAAUCCUU
rnacentral:rRNA from 1 species